CGCGAGCACGCGCCUGCUCAUGCGUGUGUGUCUGUGUCUGUCUGUGGGAGUGUGUUUGUGUGUGCGCGUGUGCGCGUGAAGGGUAGAAAAGCCAGUCAGUCAGUGAGAAGCAAAGGUUCCUGCAGUCCUCCCAUUAACCACCCCUGCGGCCAAGGCAAUGGCAACCACAGAAGUACUCAAGGUUCAUUUUCCUGAGACUGGGAUGUGAAUAUGACCUACAGCUGCCCUCAAUUUCAGUGUCACAGAAAAAAAAAAAAUUAACCCUUCCUGAGCUCUCCACAGACCUGACUGAGCUUCCCAAAUGCUGAACUAGCUCUGGCAAUGUGUGUGUCAACAUCAUUAUAAAUGUCUACAUCCCUGGAAAGUAUACUGCCAAGGUCUUUGGUACUAAAUGUGAAGAUAAGUCUGAGAAUAAGGGGGCACCCCAUGAUCAAGACAUGUAUCCUGACUCCAUCUCCUGGUAUAAAUAAGGAAGACAAAGAGCUUCAGGCCAUGUGGAGGAGUAUAUUUAUGUAGGACUGUAGCACAUAAUUAUCUAGUUCUGUGGUAUAUGUAAUUUUUUUCAACUUUCCAGCCUUGGCUAUACAUGUAUACAUACGCUUUUCUGUCUUCUUGCCUGAUAAGAUUAUAUAUUUGUGAUGCUUCCCUAUGUUUUUCCAUAUAAAAUGAUUUGCUAUAAAUUGGGAGAAAGAACUUGAAAUAUGGAAGAAGUAUUAGACCAUUUCAUUUUACCUCAGAAGGCCUAAGUAAGAUCAAUUGGAAUUAGCAAAGAAGCAACUUUAAGCUUGAUGGAAAAAGAAAAUUUCCUUACUUAGAGAACUGUUGUUAGUCCUUUGUUCUCAAAAAGGACCAAUGACAUCAGGAGGGUGAUAUCUUGAAUUGCAAGUGAAUUGGAUUUAAGGGAGGUAGAACUGUGCAAAGUCAUACGCCCCACUCUCUCCUUCAGAGACAUGGAAAUCCAGGGGCAAGACAGGUUAUGGGGCAGCUAGGUGACACAGUGGAUAAAGCACCGGCCCUGGAGUCAGGAGGACCUGAGUUCAAAUCUGACCUCAGACACUUGACACUUACUAGCUGUGUGACCUUGAGCAAGUCACUUGACCCUCAUUGCCCCCCCCCAAAAAAAAGAGUAAAAAGACAUAGGUUAGGAUGACUAGCAAUGGCCUGGGAUGCAAUGGGAAACCUUGGCCUUUUUAAACUGAGGUCUUUCCCAAGUUUCAAGUUUGUCUGAGGCAAUACCCAUCCGGUAAUUAAAGAAAGGCUAGGUAAGAAUUGAGGCAAAAAGAUGGCCUACUUUGCCUUCAAUCUGGGAAUCAAUCUGGGAAGGGAAGAUCCUCAGAAUUUCUGGCCAGAACAGACACAAUUGCUAUUUACACUCACUCUCUGUGAGAGCCAGAGUGAUUUCAGUUUAAAGGCAUAGACAAGUAGCUCCAUUUGAAUUCAAAAGAGUUAACUGUCCCAUUUUUUAGGGGGAAAAAUAAUGAUGGAGUAAAUAAGUAGGGAAGAGGAAAAAAAUUGAAUCUGCAAACCCCAAGAUACCUUGUGAAGUAUAAGCAAUGGAGGAGGAGGAGGAAAGGGAGAGAAGAAGGAGAUAUCAUUGCCCAGAUAGAACUGGUUGGUUGGGUCCACAUGGGGGCAGCUACUACUACUCACAGGUUCACAAAUUAUUUUUCAUCCUUCAUUCUUGAAAAAGACCAAUUCACUUGCAAAUCAAGAUAUCAGAGAAUUAUUCUAAAGUGGAAUAAGCUGCCUCUAGAGGCAGUAGUUUCCCUUCAUUAUGUGUUCUUAAGUAAAGAUUGGAUGAUCUUUUAUCAGGUGUGAUGUAGAGGGGAUUAUUCUUCCUCAAUGAUGGGUUAGUCUAGAGCUCUCUCUGAGAUCCUUUCAAUUUUAAAAUCUUAUGAUUCAGGAUGCAGAUGCUGAACUAUAUGUUGUAUUUUAACAAAAACUAUGAAUAGCACCUUUUCCAGUUCCCUACUACCUUGCCUUGCCUUUCCUCCAACAGGUAUUCCUCCUCCAAACCCUGCUGUUAGCUACAUACCACUGUCUGACACCCUAGGAAGACUCCACUAUGAGAACCCCUAGAAACUUAAUAACCUGCCUGAACUCAUUCUUCAUUACUUGACUAACAUAUACCCACACAGCCCAGAGAUUCUGAAUCACUGACUGUUGAAACCCACUUCUGUUUUCCACCGAUUGUUCCCCUAUUUCCAUACUUAACUCACCUAUCCAAUUUUCCACUCUGAAGCUACCCACCCCUUCCACUGUGUUCUCUGGAAUGUCUGCUCCCAUAGGUAACAAAUUUGCUUUUGUCUUAAGUUUUUUCCUUUUUCCCUCCUUCUGUCAUGGCUCUCUCCUAAUGAUACUGAUUCCCUGGUCACCCUUUCCAGGACACUCAUAGACCUGAUUCAUUGGUCAUGGUGUAGUUGGAAUAUUCCUUGAGCUCUUGUUCCAAUUCCAGGCUCUCCCUCUACCACCAUUACUUAGUAACUUGUUCUCUUUUGAGAUUUGUUCAAUCCAUAUUUAUGAUCCAAUCAAGAUUUGGGAAGCUGUUAUCUGCCAACCCUCUGGCAACUCUUUUGUCUGCCUCAAUGAGUUCAGUGCCUGGAUCACAGUCGUUCUCUCAUCCCCAACUCUUGCAUUCAUACUAGAGGACCCCAGUACACAUAUUGAUACUUCCUCAAACACAACUUACUCCCUUCCCAUGACCUACUGCUCAUCUCAGUUACACACAGAGAUUAUCACAUCCUCAAUCUUGUCAUGUCCCAUAAAGAUUGAACUUCUAUGUUCAUGAACUCUGAAAUUCUUUUAUCUGAUAGUGAUGCUACCAUUCCACUCUUACCCUGCCUUGUAACACCUAACCGUGUUGUUCAUCCUCACCAUGACAAUCCCUUCACCCCCUCAGUUCUUUCCCAAGCUCCUCCCUUCCCCAUCUUUAUCUUUUUGUGAAGCAACUCAACUCUUCUUAUUUGUAAUCCUUUGCCCCUAUAUCCUAAUUUCAAUCUCAGCCUAGGAUAGCUCCCACCAUCCACUGCCUUUGUUCCUACUCACAUGCUGCUGAGAAAAGGUAAAGAAAAACAUGAAAACAUACUGAUUGGAUCCACAAUAAAUUUGUUACAUAAUCACAGUUAGACCCUUUUAUAGCAAAGAUGCAGCAAGACAAUCCUUUUAUACCUCUCUCAUUUACUAUUUCACUCACCACAGCAGCUUUUCUAAACGCUUUCAUCUCUUCUUAAAUCUCGCAUGAUUCCUUCUCCCCACCCCCUGCCCCGCUGACAAAAAAAAAAAAAAUUAAGGCCCUACAACUAAGAGAUUCCUCUUCUCUCCAUUCCUCAUCUCACAUUCCUCAGAUUCUUUCUGCAACUAUCUUCCACCUCGAUCCAGUCUCACAUGAUACAAUAUCCUUUUCCCUUGUCAAGGCAAAUCUUUACAUGCACAACCGAGCCCAUUACAUCCCAUCUUCUCCAGAGGAAAAAAAAUGCAUCUUCUAUCAUCCCCACUUUUUCACUAAUCUUCAAACUCUUCCUAGCUACUUACUGCUUCCCAAUAAGCUAAAAGCAUGCCCAUGUCUCUCCUAUCCCCAAGAAACAUUCAUCUGAUCUCUCUAUCCCUGAUAAUUAUCAUCUUAUAACUAUUUCCUUUCAUGGCUAGGCUCCUUGAGAAUGCUGUCUACAAUAGGUACUUCCACUUCCUUUCCUCUCACUCUCUUUUCUUAAUCUAUUAAAAUAAUCAUGAUUUGUGUUGUUCUUGCUACUCAUGUGGUCAAUUAUUUAUUAUGCUCCUAAUAUUGGACUAGUCUUGCAUUCCUGAUAUAAAUCUAACCUGAUCACAGUGUAUAAUCUGUGGUAUAUGCUACUGUAUAGCCUCUUUGCUAAUAUUUUAAAUUUUUGCAUCAGUCUUCAUUAGGGAUAUAGAUCUGUGUUUUUCCUCUCUCUAUUUUGACUCUCUUUGGUUUAGGUACCAAUAAAAUACUUGAUUCACAGAAGGAAUUUGGCAAGAUAGCUUCCUUUCCUAACUUUACAAGAAUUUUGUGUAAUAUUGGAAUUAAUUUUUAUUUGAUUGAUGAAAAUUUGUAAAUCUAUCAGGUCCUGGGUUUUUUGGGGUUUUUUUAUCUGAACCAUUUCAUUUGAUAUGUUUAAUUUCUUUUUUAUGAGACUUUAUGUUUUUUACAUUCUCUAUUUUUUCUUAUAUUAAUCUGGGUAAGUCAUAUCUGUAAAUAUAUCUCCAUUUCACUUAAUUUUAUUGGCAUAUGGUUAUAGAAAAUAGUUUCUAAUAACAUUAUUUCCUUUUCGUUUGUGAUGAUUUCUCCUUUUAAACUUUUGAUAUUGAUGUUCCUGCUUUUUUUUCUUAAAAUCUAUUCAGUAGGAGGGCAGCUAGGUGACACAGUGGAUAAAGCACUGGCCUUGGAUUCAAGAGUAUCUGAGUUCAAAUCCAGCCUCAGA